rnacentral:rRNA from 1 species
UACGUAGGGUGCAAGCGUUGUCCGGAUUUAUUGGGCGUAAAGAGCUCGUAGGCGGUUUCGUAAGUCGAGAGUUAAAUCACCAGGCUCAACCUGGUGCUGCUCUUGAUACUGCGAUGACUUGAGUGCGGCAGGGAGAAGUGGAAUGGCUGGUGUAGCGGUGAAAUGCGUAGAUAUCAGGAGAACACCGAUGGCGAAGGCAGGUCUCUGGGCCACUACUGACGCUGAGAAGCGAAAGCAUGGGGAGCGAACAGG